CUUAGAACAGAGAACUCCGGCGCUGCAUACAGAGGAGCAAUUCUGGGGACACCAGACAACAGGCAUUGCACUAGAUGACGACAACUCUGGUUACCAUGUGAGGUAAGCAGAGCCGACCUUGCCUGGCUUCCCUAUCAGCAGCUCAGUGGGAUUAAAUGGCUUGCCAAUGUCACAAGGGAGAAGGAGAUAGCUUCACAGCCCCCUCCCCUCUUUCCCUGGAGCAACGUGGGAGAGUGAGAGGUUGGCACUGAGGAUUAUGUACGACCAGCACACUCAGGAAACCUGUCCAUCUGGAAAUAAAGGUUUCAGUCAAUGCAGUGAACGUAACAAGAGACAGAACCAAUGAGGCCAGAUUGAAGGAGUCGAUCUAAGCUGAAUACAAGGAAGAAGAGUUAUCUUGGGAUGGAAAUCAGCUGUCCCACAAGUAAUGUGGCAUGGAGAAAGCCCAUCAACUUGUCACACCUGAAGAUGAAGGAGCAGUUUGUACAGCCUUUGGCUUGGAAAGAACAUGGCUAGACCAAGUAAAAGUGGGAUCCUAGUAGCAACCUCUUGAACAUGAGGGUUCGGCUCAAUAUCCUCUUCCACUGAAGACUCAACAAACACAUGCUGAAUUUCCUCAACAGAGCUGAGACGUUUCCAGUGUAAGCAGUAUAUAAUAGGCAUGAAACAGAAAAAUCAAGGAUGGUUUCCUCUACUGGAGAGGUGCAUGUUUCAUGAUGCUGAUUAGAAAGUCCAGCCUGAGAGAGGCUCUUUGAAGAUUCUUGGCCCACGAUAGCCAGAGACAGCUCAAAGGGAGACAGAUAUCCCUGAUUUAUAGCGAGCUCAACUACGACCCAGUGCAGAAGAGAGGCCAUCCUUCGGUUAAGUGGGCAGUAGGAAUUUUGCAGAACAUGUUUUGGGGGCUCUGCCAUGCCCGGAUCUGUGCAGUAGUCAGUAGGGACAGCUAGAGCAGUUUGGGGUGAAGAGUGUGCUUUAAGCCCAAGCUUAGCAGAACAGCUAGCAGAGACAACCGGUGUGGCACGCAGGCCAAGCCCAGCAAUUGAUGUCAAGCCAGAAUGAUGAAAGAGGACUCAUACGUGGCCACAUUCAGAUGUGAUCUGUACAGAGACAUCUGUUCAGAAGAGGCUGUCAUGCUCACUGUGGGGUGCUGGGAUGAGCCCCCCAGACCCUCCAGCUGGGAUGCGAGCAGGACUUAGUCCCCAGUCCUCUGUGGCACUGCCUUGGCUGAGCUGCUUCCUGCAGGGUCUCCUCCCUCUUCAGGACAGCCUAAUCCAAUGACUGACCAACUUGGGGUACAAAGGUCCAGCCUUCUUGUCCCAACUCAGGACUGUCCUGAAGUCAUCCCGUCUUUAGGACUCCCCACAAAAGCAGCUAAGUCUCCGGAGGAGAUGGCCUUGAGGCUUGACCUCUCCCUGUGUCCCGUCCUGCUUCCUUUCUGUCCCCUCCACAGCCACAGACCCCAAUAGCGCUCCCUAACAGACGCGCUGCAUGCUAAUCUGCACCUCAGACUCCCCUUCCCUGGGGCACUGGGAUUGUCACUAAUCAGCCAUGGGCUCCUCUGCAUCUCCUAGCUGGGAUAUUGGGGCCUGUGACAGGGCCCUGGCCACUGGGAAGUGGGCAGAGUGAAGUGGCCUUGGGUCACGUGGCCCUGACACUGCACAGAGGAGACUUGCACGGGUGGAAAACACAUCUUCCCUGGGUCAAAUCUCUGCGAUUUGGGAUUUGUUUUGCUUUCUGUUUUCUCAACAAAGACUAACUUAAUUCGGUUUUGUCGAAUGCAUCGGCCAUAUUCAUUGAAGGCCUUUUCUAAUUCCAGAGUGAAAAGCAAUCAGAAGUUACUAUUAGUUGUCAUGUAUGUUUGCUUAAGUUAACUGUAAGGGGAAAAUAACAUAGUUCAUCCCGUAUCAUAGAUGUAGUUAUUUUCAAUAAUAUUUCUAGCAAGUCUUUUCGUUGGGCUUAUAAAUUUUAGUUAUUCUAAAGGUA